rnacentral:lncRNA from 1 species
GAUAAAUACACAAAAUAGCGAUAAACGCAUAGUUGUUGUCAGGCAGCGAGUUCUAGAAACAUCGAUUCGCCUUCGGUCCGUUAUUUUAUCUACACAAAAAAGGUGGCAUACGUGAUCAUAGGCGCGAACGGUUGCGAGACCCGAGCGUGGUGGGGGUCGUCUCCCAGAGAAGACAAAGGACAAAAUCGAAGGGCAGUCAGUGGCAAAUGAGGAUUCAAACCGAAUGCAUCGAGAGGUUCAGAGAAACAAAAUCAAGGUCGCUUAGUCAAACGAAUACGUCGAGAAAUAUCAUAAAGUCGAGUCGAAUUAUAAUUAUAAACUAAUUAUAUCAUCGUUAAAUCAUUUGUGACAUGCACAUUAUAAUUUUACAUAUCCUUAAGUAUACAAGUUUAUAUUGACACUGUUAAUUCAGUGUUACAAUCAUUUGAACUACUUCUGUUAUUCUAAUCGAAACAGGGGAAUGACUGAUUCGCGGCGUCGACUAUCAGAAUCGUAGCGAGAAUUUAUGCCUCUCUCUGACGCGUUUCCCCGUGAUCGCGUCUUUUCGCGAACGGCCGUAACAUUCCUAAUGUAGUCUAAUUCUGGUGCCAUUUUCGUUCUGUGCUACGUCUCAUUAGGUUAUCAAUGUAUGGGCGGAAUUAUCUUCGCUAGAAACUCAAUUUAAUGCCUUACACGGGUUACAGAAGUUUCUUUAUGGCGCUCCAACUCUGUUUAAACUGGACUUUGCAGUAAAGUCAUGCAAUCUUGUUACUUAAUCUCGUAAUAGAAUAAAAGCGUAACGCAUCAUCGCGUCAAUUAUUUCAUUAAUUACUUGUUAAGCAACUCUUGAUACAUGGUCGUGUGAAUUAUUCACGGUUAAUUACGCUUGAGAAGAAAUUUACGUUAAACGAAUGCCAGCUACAACACCUUUCCAGAGUAAGUUAAGCUGUGUUUUAUGAGAAUGCGAGCACUUCUGGCUGAAUAUAUGGUUUAGUUACUUUUCGAAACUUUAACCGCGAAACUAAACGUAGAAAGCUUCUGUAAAUACGAAGAAAAUAGAUCAGUGACAUUUGCUUAAACGCUUUGUGCAAUAAGUUUGAAAAACAAAAAAAUGAGGACAAUUGUUAUAAUAUUCGGAACGAUGAAAUUUCAGGAAAAAUGUUAUUACAUUACGAACCAAAUAUGCCAUUUUCUCCGCAACAAAGGGAUAAUACGAAAAUAUGGUCGAAUCGGUAGCCACAAAUUGAUGUUAACAGAUGGUUCUCGGAAUUCCGAAUUUGCAUCGAAAUGUAAAUACCGAAACAAAGGAUAGCAGUUCGAAAUUAGAAAAAGACGCACAAAAGGCGGAAAAUCCACAUUGUAGUUUUAUCAACUAUGGAAUGGAAAUUUCCGAGUAUUUGGUCAAAAGUUCAGUGAGUGGAAAGAAACAAAACAGAUGAACAAUUACGGGUAGAAUAGAAUUUUAAAUGAGCGGCGAAAAAACAAGAAUCGUUUAAUGAGAUAAAAGUCAUCCGCAAAUCACUGUACUAAAAAUCAAAUUAGGUGUACCAUAAAUAUUAGAGACUAUGAUGUUACACACACAACCAUACAAUUAGGUUUAAAAGAAGAUUCUCUGACAAAUUAAUAAUUAUGGUAAAAAUGCUUAUUACGUCGCCCAUUUUAUCGAAGUGUUUAUUCUUCUUACAAAAUAUAUACAUUUGUUUCCAUUAUUUUCCCUGCAACUAUAUAUAUUCAUAUAAUAUGCUUUUUCACUUCUUGGAAUCACUAAAAUUCUGAUAAAAAAUCACUAAAUGUUUGACUUUUGAAUUGUAAAUAUACAAGUUUGCAAAUAUGGAAAUACCUGGAAGGUGAGAGGUCUUCCUUCGAUGCAGCACGCAUGCGGCUGUGAAAUCGUUUGGGUGUUAGAUGUUCUUCGCUGUCCUCCUGAGUAGAUGGAUGAUAAGGAUAAUAGAAGGGCUUUUCUUUCCCUCCGACUGUUUUCAUUAGUACUCUGCCAGAACUAUAUCUGCGAAUAUAUAAACCACGUUGCAUGUGUUAUUAUUGGUCGUGAAAAGAUGAGAGCCAUUUUUAUCGGGGCGAGGAAGGAUGUGAAUAAAAACCCUCUUCACCCAAGGUGCCAUUUUGUGAGUUUGCGGCGAUCGAAAGUGAACAUUAAGCACAACUACCGUCACGCAUAUGCUGUAAAAUAAACAAAGAAACGAUAAAUUUAAUACAACAAUUUUUUCAAUUAUAAAUUAAUAAAAUUAGGUUUGUAUCACGUCGUUACACUUAAACACGAGUUACGAAUUAAUUAAAAUCUUUAAAGCAA